GGCUCGGAUCACCUCCCUGCUCGUCACCUGCUCGGCGAGGGGAUCCGCGCCUUCUCC
rnacentral:misc_RNA from 1 species